rnacentral:rRNA from 1 species
AGCGAACGUUGGCGGCAGGCUUAACACAUGCAAGUCGAACGCCCUAGCAAUAGGGAGUGGCAGACGGGUGAGUAACACGUGGGAACCUUCCCUAUAGUACGGAAUAGCCCAGGGAAACUUGGAGUAAUACCGUAUACGCCCGAGAGGGGAAAGAUUUAUCGCUAUAGGAUGGGCCCGCGUCGGAUUAGCUAGUUGGUGAGGUAAUGGCUCACCAAGGCAACGAUCCGUAGCUGGUUUGAGAGAAUGACCAGCCACACUGGGACUGAGACACGGCCCAGACUCCUACGGGAGGCAGCAGUGGGGAAUCUUGGACAAUGGGCGCAAGCCUGAUCCAGCCAUGCCGCGUGAGUGAUGAAGGCCUUAGGGUUGUAAAGCUCUUUUGGCGGGGACGAUAAUGACGGUACCCGCAGAAUAAGUCCCGGCUAACUUCGUGCCAGCCGCCGCGGUAA